GACGAACGCUGGCGGCGUGCUUAACACAUGCAAGUCGAAUGGUAAGGCCUUUCGGGGUACACGAGUGGCGAACGGGUGAGUAACACGUGGGUGAUCUGCCCUGCACUUCGGGAUAAGCCUGGGAAACUGGGCCUAAUACCAGAUAGGACCCUGGGAUGCAUGUCCUGGGGUGGAAAGCUUUUGCGGUGUGGGAUGGGCCCGCGGCCUAUCAGCUUGUUGGUGGGGUGAUGGCCUACCAAGGCGACGACGGGUAGCCGGCCUGAGAGGGUGACCGGCCACACUGGGACUGAGAUACGGCCCAGACUCCUACGGGAGGCAGCAGUGGGGAAUAUUGCACAAUGGGCGCAAGCCUGAUGCAGCGACGCCGCGUGAGGGAUGACGGCCUUCGGGUUGUAAACCUCUUUCAGCACCGACGAAGCGCAAGUGACGGUAGGUGCAGAAGAAGGACCGGCCAACUACGUGCCAGCAGCCGCCGUAA
rnacentral:rRNA from 1 species